AAAUGGUGGAACAGCAGCCAAGCGCUCACUCAUCGUCUCAGGUCCUCUUAUUUAGGCCUAUUCACCGGUAGAUCAUUUGUACAUCACUCUGGAUAUGGGUGUCUACCAAAUGACAUAAUCAAGGUUACGGAACCAGUUGUGGUAGUCCAGCAUGUCAUUGGUGGUGUUGGUGAGGAGCUGAGAGCGCAGCAAUCUCCAGGGCAAUUCUAGGUGUAGCACCUGUCCUACGACACUGCUCCAGUCAUUCAGAGAGAUGAGACCUGAGAGUGGACCAACAGCAAGAGGAAAAGCUUGUUGUAAUUGUAAUUUUGUAGUUUGCAAAUUUUUAACACUGUCUGAUAUGGAUGAAUGAAUCCAGUCAAUAUUUCAUGAAAUUCCACAUAAAGAACAACAAGUUCUAUAACAUCGCCACCUAGAGAGCGCACAUGGUAAAGCUCAACAACAUUUGAUGUUGUUAUUUUCCAUGUUAAUGUGAAUUCUUUUUAGGAUGGAAUUCACUUUUGAAAUUUGGCAAGGUGAAUAUUUCAUAGGAGUUAAUUAAAUAACACUCAAAUAAUUUAUUUCGCUCAAACAAUUUCCUUUUCCCCCCAGGUUUAUAUCAUGAAUGUGAUAAUGUAGGCAAAAACAGUUUUCAGUUAAUGGCCUGUUUAAAGCAGGUGCAUUUUUUUCAAGCACAUAAGCAUAGGCAGGAGAGUUUAGAGUUUUCCACAAAAAAAAAAAAGACAAAAAUACAACUGGAGUUCUUUAAAUGAAUAUCAGAUGACUUAGAGGAGCUAAAAUUUGACUAAGAAGUAAUAAUCUCUAAUAAUAUGUUACAUUAAUCUAAAGGAAUCUGACUCUGGAUAACCUGCUUUAAUGUGGGUCUUAGGAAAAGAUUGUAGAUGAAAGUGCCACAUUCAGUUUUAUUCCUCAUAGGCAAAAUAGACUGAUGCAGCAGAGCUUUAGUCUGUCCACCUCUCUCACACCUUUAUGUGUACAUGCUGCACACACAGAUCAGAAUACAAAGCUUCAAAUUUCAUUUACUGGUAAAACCACUGUGCAUUUUAUCUUGUAAAUUGCUAGCAAGCUGAGCCAAAUCUCUGUUAUAACUCGGUGCAACUGCUCCAUAUACAUAGAGUUUAAUGGAUCAAUUGCAUCAUUCACAUUGAGUCUGAAAGUUUGUAAGAAGUACUGCACCUGUUUUCUUCUUAUCGUAUUCCUGAAAGGCACUGAUGAGAUCUGACUUGUGUGUAAACAGUUGCUCUCUCAGGACUUUAAGUGCAGAGUGCUCUGUUCGUCUGAUGCUAACCAAAAAAGAAAAACUGUUCAGAAAAUUCCAAACUGUUGUGUUAUACUGGUGUAUUAUACUGCUGUGUUAUACUGGUGUAUUAUACUGCUGUGUUAUACUGGUGUAUUAUACUGCUGUGUUAUACUGGUGUAUUAUACUGUUGUGUUAUACUGGUGUAUUAUACUGUUGUGUUAUACUGGUGUAUUAUACUGCUGUGUUAUACUGGUGUAUUAUACUGUUGUGUUAUACUGGUGUAUUAUAAUGUUGUGUUAUACUGGUGUAUUAUACUGUUGUGUUAUACUGGUGUAUUAUACUGUUGUGUUAUACUGGUGUAUUAUAAUGUUGUGUUAUACUGGUGUAUUAUACUGUUGUGUUAUACUGGUGUAUUAUAAUGUUGUGUUAUACUGGUGUAUUAUACUGUUGUAUUACAUUUACAAUUACAUUUACGGCAUUUAGCAGACUCCCUUAUCCAGAGAGACUUACAACUGAGCAACUGAGGGUUAAGGGCCUUGCUCACCUUCCGAUCAGUAGCCCAACACCUGAACCACUUAACCACUGAGCUACCACACAUUAUACUGCUGUGUUAUACUGGUGUAAACAGAAAGUGAAAAAGCAGCUUUAAUUACCUUUGUC